GGGAGCUCCAGGUCCUUUUCCCACAGCUUGCCGUACGCACUGCUUCCAGCUGGCUGUGCUUGAGUUCUAUCCUUCCAUAAUAAACCGCUGCUCUAGGGAAUGGUGGAGUUAUUCUGAGAAAUUCAAAUCCAGGAUAUUCAGUCCAGAUGAUGCCAGCGUCUGCUUCAAAGAUCUUGGUCCGGUCCAUGGAUGAAGUAGAAGCCCCAGCACGUACGCCACACGUUCCAGCAACAGGACAGACACUUUUGCCGAGUAUCUAAGAACUGUAAGAUAUUCUUCUGUCUUCUGGCUUCCAAUAUUCUUAUGAAGAAGUCUGUCAGUAUACUUGGUGCUGUUAUGAAGGCACUGAUUCCUUCAGCGUUGGUGACACAGGGGAAAGAGCGGACAGAGGCCUGCUCGCCUAAAUGUUCACUAGACCCUAUCUUUGCUCUGGCUCAGCCUGUUAUCUGAUAUGGGGACCUCUGUUGAUGUGGAGAGCUCCUCACGGGCUGUGAGUGUGAUUUUCUUGGGGUGGUGAUUGGCUUCACCUGGACACGUUCUGGCGCUCAAGAGCCUUCUCCAGAGAGCAGGAGUGUCGGCCCACCUGCUCUAUGUAUUCUCAAUGCCCUCUCAAAGUUGAAUACCUCAUUACUUGGCCCUCAAAAAACACAUUUGGACAGGCUCAAGGCUCCUGUCUCAUAAUUCCCAUGCUUUUUUAUGUGGAGCCAGAAAAACUACCAGUGUCUUUUUGUGCCCUACAAGACACGGAGAAAACAAGAAUGGAGUGGGGGUUGGACCACUCUUCUUUCCAAGUACUUUAUAUCCAGCACCAUUGAUACAUCCUUUCAAAGAUAGUCUCCUACUUUCAGAACUCUCCAAGCUAAGUGUACCCCCAAACCUCAAGGGACAUAUGGCAAGCAAACCCUCUUUCCCCCAUAGAUGGAAAAAGUUGCUAAAAUCUAACUGCUACAUUCCUAGAUUCUCAGAUCCCCAAGUGCUUUCCCAAGGAAAGGACCCUCAGCAUGGUCUGUUCCCAUAUAGGAAGCACAUACAUGAGUCUGUCCCUGAGCCAGCACCUAGCUGAGAAUAAGUUGCUGGUGUCCCACCUUACAGUCACCUCCAACACUUAGGGAGGAUUCUUUUGGAGUUCCCCUCACUGGGCUUCAGGCAGGAGAAAACACCCUCCUCUUCUUCCACGUGGGAGAGGAAGAAGCCUCCUCUUGCCUUUCCUCUUCAUCUUCUGUAAAGCGUGGGUGGGGAGAGAGUGAACUUGGUGCCAGGGCUGCACCGGACUUCCCAGUGGGGCCGCAGGAGGAAGGCUGGCCCCAGACCUGACGGCUAGAGUGUGAAGUCAUGACUGCCUUUACCCUCAACUGGCCUCAGCCUCAGCUGUGGGAGGUCAGGCAGGAUCCAACUCAUCAUCUUGUUGACAGCUGAUAUACUCUCAAUUGGUUUACCUCCAGAUGGCGACAGUUGCUCUUCUCGUCUCCGUGGGGGGCUCUUGGAUGAUUUAAAAAUAUUUCUUCUCUUUUUUUUCUUUAUCUGCAUCUAUAUUUCCUAUUUUUUCUCUGAGGGGCAUAUAUUCACUGUAUAAUAAAAAUAAAGAAUUUUCUCUGUAUGCUCCACCUUUAUUGACAGAAAAUUGCUGGACACCCUUAAAAUUAUUCAUUGAAUUAUUAUUAGUUACAUUUUAGUUUACUGGCAACUUGCUUGAAUCCUCAGAUGUGGAAAUGAAUUCCUUACCUUUUGACUCUCUUUUUUGUUAUGCACUUGAAAUUCUGCCACCACAUUUUGUUUUGACUUUCAAUUCAUACUUUAAUAAAAGUAAUUUCUGUUUCAAAGCUGUAAAGGAAAUGGAAAACUGAAAAUUAAAUUAAAUGUUAUACUUAAUCUCUGACUUAGCAUGAAAAUACCUCCUCCAAACAAGAGAUAGUGGAAAUGAUAAUUGUUCUGUGCCAGCCAUCCUAAGAGAAAAUUUAAAAUAUGCAGAUAUGGGCUUCUUCUGAGACAGCAAGCUCAGCCUUUGCCUCCCUGAGGUGGAGAGGAGCUCACUGGCAUUCAACCGAAGGACUUCCUUGAUUGGAUUGAACAAAUUCUUUGGUCAGUGCAGGACACAGAGCACUGGGAAAUGGUUCUUGACCAGCCUGGUACUUUUCCACUUCGUCCUGGCUAGCUCUGUGUUCUUUUCAGUUGCACUUGUUCUCCCCAUACAUCAAGUUCGUUGGGCAAUACUUUGACUUUUCAGACGAAAAUUCUUGAUUGAAUAUCAUUUGAAUGUUUUUCAUUCUGGCAUCAUGACCUAAACAAGGCAAAGGGUUUUCAAUUCCAUUUAGCAUGAAUUUAUUAGGCAUCUUUGCCGUGCCAAGCUCUGUGCUGGACACUAUUAGCGACUGGGGGACAGGAGAAGCAACCCUAAGUUGUGCUGAAUCUAAACAACAAAAUGAUGUCCUUCCGUGCCUCGUGACACUGAUCUUAUUUGGACACUCCUUAAAGAAUGUAGUCUCUUCUCUCAAGGAAGUAACAGUUUAGUGCAGAGGAUAAGAAUUCCACAUAUCAAACAACUGAAAGGCAAGAGAAGAAGAAAAUUACUCAGCGCUGAAUCAUUUGGUGAGGUUAACUGAUGAGGGGCUCAGGCACGGAAGGAUCUGGGAGCAGCACUGGUGGACAGUGGCUACUGUAGACGGAGGGAGUCAGAUGAGCUGGAAGAAUGGAUGGGCGCUGGCCAGGCAGAGCCAGGCAAGGACUUUCUGUGUGUGGAUAAGUUCUGUGACCCCAUGCGCGUCCACAAACGCUAAAAAAUGAAACAAAACAAAGAACAACAACAACAAAAACCCAGAGGGGCCAGUUGACAAGUAGAAGAAGAGAGUUUGCAAUUAUUCGUGAUAUAUAUAUGUGAAGUAGUAAUAUUUUAAAAUAUUUGUCAACCAAACAAGUAAGCCAAAAAAAACAAAAACUAACUAAAAUGACAGGGUUUUAAUAAAUUGAUGUCCUGAGCCUUAUUUAGUCCAUAAUGUUUUUUAUGAAUGGUAUGAAGAAAGGAUAAUAGCACAUAUAUGGACCCUUUAUACAUAUACUGUCUCAUUUAAUUUAUAUAACAAUGCUGUGAAGUAGGAAUUGCAUUUGGUUACUGGUAAAGAGACGGGAAAAAUAGCGGCCGAAACAAGAAAGGGGUUUAUUUUUUUCACAUUAAAAUCUCCAGAGAUGGUCAAUCCUGGUCCAGCUCCAUGGCUAUCAGAGACCCAGGCUUCUUUCACCUCUCUCUUCACCAGACACAGUGAAGGGCCUCUAGUCUCUUGAUAGCCUCAUGGUAGCAAGAUGGCUAUUUUAGCUCCCACCAUCACAUCCAUGUUCCAGGUGGGAGGAGGAAGAAAGGAAGCUGAAAUGCAGAGGGGCACACCUCCUAACUCUCUUUAAAGGAGAUUCUAGGUUCUCUGUAAAGAGAUUUCCAAAAAACCCACUUCAGUGAUUUCUGAACCAUGAUCUCACCCCAUCUGCAAGGAACGAUGGGAAAGGCACUUCAGUUGAUCAUAUUCUGCCCGCAUGGACAGAGUCUGUGCUGGGAAGGAGGGCAGGGAGGCGGUACCUCCUAUCAGCCAGGCUGCGGGAAGCGAGCCCCCAAGGUGCCGAGUGGCCUCCCCGAGCCACACGCCGGGUCCCGAGCGCCGCUCCGUCCGCCCUCUGCGCAGGCCCGCGCCGGCCCUUCGAGGCGUGCGGCCCCCGAGGCUGCCUCAGGCCUUCCCGCGGACGUGCUGAGCUGUCCUCCUCGCGGGGUGGACCCUUUCCGGCUGCCGGGAGCUGCUGCGUCAGUGGCGGGGGAACCCGACCGAGCGAGCUCCCACCUGUGCGCCUGGGCGGCCCGUGCGGUGGGGCGUGGGAGGCGCGCUUCCUGGGCGUCCUGGGAGCCGAGCUUCUGCGCAGACGCGGCGUCUGCUGUCCCACGUGCUUCCUUUCAGCUCUGCUGACCUGGCCCCUCCCUUCAGCCCCUCCCGCUUAACAUUUAGCCAUUUGUCUUUCUUUCCCCGACAUCCACCUGUCUGCCUCUCCCGGAUCUGACGCCCAGUUACGAACUCCGUUCUCCAGAGAGAUUGUGAGCAAAGACACGUGCAGGGGACGUGUUACUCAGCCUCAAUCCUCAAGUGCAAACUAUUUUUUUUAACAUUUACUCUGCACAGAUCACUGUGCCAGGAACUACCGGGUUGAUUACGAAACAUAAGGUAGAGUCACGCUUGACCUCAAGGAGUAAACAACCUCAUCGCGGAAAUGGAAGGCGCACUAAGCGACAGGUAAUCGUGCAAGGAAGUGUGGAAGCGCCGUGAGAAGAGAGAGCACCGUGAGCGAAAGUGUUGGGAGGAAAGACAAGCCGCUUUUGACUGAGGAGGUCGGGGACAGCGUCACGAGACGAGAGAGAAUGGAUUUGAUCCCUGUUGAAAUUAGGAAAGGGGAAAGGAGGUAGAGAAUGAUAUGAGCAGAGCCCAAGACUACAAAAGAAAAGACGUUCCCAACUCAGUUUGUGGAGACUCUGAAGCUUCACUCAGAAGAAUCCUGCUCAUCGAUUCAUCCCUCCUUCAGAAUCUUUUACCCGGGACGCUUACAUCCGGCUAAAUCAGGACAUUCUGAACCGAUGUUAUACUAAAUGCCUUGAACUGCUUUGCAAUCAAUGCCUUGGAACGGAGUGGGGAUGAGGGAAAGGGAAGAGAAGGAGGGUAAGAGAUAGAAUAAAACUGGAAGAUGAGUAAAUUUUUUUAACCUUGGAAUCAAGAAGUUCAUUAUGAAUAUGACAAACACAGCUGUAACGGACCUAGGCAGUGACUCAGCCUGCCAUCCUGGCCGUCUUUUAACUUUGGCAGCAUGAAUUGAAACUGAAAGACUUCUGCUGCUCUGGCUGAGGAUUUUCAUUUAGCCUCACCACCAAGAAAAAUCAGCCUGGAGCAAUGAGUGUGCUGAUUUUGUUAAUUCUCUCAAAUAUGUCGGUUGUUUGAAUCACUACUGAUUAAAUAUUCUUGACACUUUUCCUUUCUCAGUGUGCCAUGACUCAUCAGGUGAUCACAGUGGAAGGCAAAGGCUAAAUCUGUUUCUUUAAACUGUUUACUGAACGUGACCAAUGGAAGAAACCGCUCCAGCUAAGAUGAUGAGUGGCACGUUGGUAGGCUGCAUGUCUAUUACCUAUCUGUUCAUAGUCUUCAAGAAACGAAAAUAUUAGCUAUAAGGAAACAUCACCAGGAGCUGAGUCAGACCAGAGACGUGAAGUACGGCAAGGCUGGGCUUCUGCUGCCAAACAAGCAUUUCCCAGGUCCUUCUAGUUGUGCUGUGUGGGAUGCUGCCUCAGCAUGGCCUGAUGAGUGAUGCCAUGUCUGCGCCCAGGAUCCAAACCAGCGAAACCCUGGGCCACCGAAGCGGAGCAUGCAAACUUAACCACUUGGUCACAGGGCAGCCCGUGGCAGACACGGUUUAAUCUCUGAGAGGCAGAUGCACACAGCUUUUGGCUGAAAAUACAGAGAGAAAUUUUACAGCAAACACAUCAAGAGGGAAAUCGGGAACAGCUACAACACUCUGCUGCUCAGUUUCGGAAACCCUUCCGGAGGACGGGACAAAGCUGGCCUCCUGCCGC
rnacentral:lncRNA from 1 species